rnacentral:rRNA from 1 species
GUGGGGAAUUUUGGACAAUGGGCGCAAGCCUGAUCCAGCAAUGCCGCGUGAGUGAAGAAGGCCUUCGGGUUGUAAAGCUCUUUUGUCAGGGAAGAAACGGCGAUUUCUAAUAAAGAUUGCUAAUGACGGUACCUGAAGAAUAAGCACCGGCUAACUACGUGCCAGCAGCCGCGGUAAUACGUAGGGUGCAAGCGUUAAUCGGAAUUACUGGGCGUAAAGCGUGCGCAGGCGGUUUUGUAAGUCUGACGUGAAAUCCCCGGGCUUAACCUGGGAAUUGCGUUGGAGACUGCAAGGCUGGAGUCUGGCAGAGGGGGGUAGAAUUCCACGUGUAGCAGUGAAAUGCGUAGAGAUGUGGAGGAACACCGAUGGCGAAGGCAGCCCCCUGGGUCAAGACUGACGCUCAUGCACGAAAGCGUGGGGAGCAAACAGG